rnacentral:rRNA from 1 species
GUGUCAGCCGCCGCGGUAAUACGGAGGGUGCGAGCGUUGUUCGGAAUCACUGGGCGUAAAGGGCGUGUAGGCGGUCCGCUAAGUCUGAUGUGAAAGCCCGGGGCUCACCCCCGGAAGGGCAUUGGAAACUGACGGACUCGAGUCCCGAAGAGGAGGGUGGAAUUCCUGGUGUAGCGGUGAAAUGCGUAGAUAUCAGGAGGAACACCGGUGGCGAAGGCGGCCCUCUGGACGGUGACUGACGCUGAGACGCGAAAGCGUGGGGAGCAAACAGGAUUAGAAACCCCUGUAGUCC